AUUGAACGCUAGCGGGAUGCUUUACACAUGCAAGUCGAACGGCAGCGCGGACUUCGGUCUGGCGGCGAGUGGCGAACGGGUGAGUAAUGUAUCGGAACGUGCACAGUAGCGGGGGAUAACUACGCGAAAGCGUAGCUAAUACCGCAUACGCCCUACGGGGGAAAGCAGGGGAUCGUAAGACCUUGCACUAUUGGAGCGGCCGAUAUCGGAUUAGCUAGUUGGUGAGGUAACGGCUCACCAAGGCGACGAUCCGUAGCUGGUUUGAGAGGACGACCAGCCACACUGGGACUGAGACACGGCCCAGACUCCUACGGGAGGCAGCAGUGGGGAAUUUUGGACAAUGGGGGCAACCCUGAUCCAGCCAUCCCGCGUGUGCGAUGAAGGCCUUCGGGUUGUAAAGCACUUUUGGCAGGAAAGAAACGUCGCGGGCUAAUACCCCGUGGAACUGACGGUACCUGCAGAAUAAGCACCGGCUAACUACGU
rnacentral:rRNA from 1 species